rnacentral:rRNA from 1 species
CAGUAGCCGCGGUAAUACGAGGGGGGCAAGCGUUGUUCGGAAUUAUUGGGCGUAAAGGGCGCGUAGGCGGUUUGGCAAGUUUGGUGUGAAAUCUUCGGGCUCAACUCGAAGUCUGCAUCGAAAACUGCCGGGCUUGAGUAUUGGAGAGGUGAGUGGAAUUUCCGGUGUAGCGGUGAAAUGCGUAGAUAUCGGAAGGAACACCUGUGGCGAAAGCGGCUCACUGGACAAUAACUGACGCUGAUGCACGAAAGCUAGGGGAGCAAACAGGAUUAGAUACCCCUGUAGUCCCUGUCUCUUAUAC